UGCGCGUGCUGCCCUUGUGCUGCUGCAGAACGCGUCUGCCUGGGCCUUGCUCACGGCUUUUGCUCGAGCAUAGUAGACCCCACCCUCACUGUUGAAAGGGAGAAGAAGGCUCACGCGGACGCCGAGACUCCUGUCAGUCUGUGGGCGGAUGCAGCAGCCUCCUUGUUAGGCUAGAUCAGCCGCUGCCUCAUCUCUCCAACUUCUCUCCUUCGACUUGUGAGAACAGCAACGGCAUCAUCGUCGGACACCCUCCACACUAGAACAUCCUCCAUCACUGCGAGUGCACAUACAAGGCUGGGCGCGCAACGGCGGCUUUGCGAGUCUCGUGACGGCUCUUCCUCACGCACCGGCCUCAUUCUUUCAUCUUUUUUGUGUGCUUAUCUUCCCUUUUCUCGCUUUUCCCUUCUUCGUCGCUCGCUCGCUCUCUGCGUCCAUCUUUGGCGACGAGAUGGAGCACAACGGCGUGAAGCCUCCGAUGCCACAGCUGCGGCUUCCGGCCGACUACGCGUACAACCCCCUCUACUUCGUGCCCAAUUCGAACGCUGUCUCCGAGGGCGGCAUUGGCGAGGACGAUGCUGUGGAGCCGCUACACCGUCUAUCGCACGCCGUGCUGCCGGCCACCACCUACCUGCACCGUCCACUGCAUUUCUCACCGUCGCCAUCGAACGCCACGCCGGUGCGCAGUCACGACAACCGGUCUCGCAGCAGGGAGAGCAGCCUCACCCGCAGAUCGGGCGAAUUGUCCCCUGCGGCAGCAUCCGCGCGACGACAGAGACGCUCGAUGUCGAUGGCAGCCUCACACGCGGCGCGGCGGAGACGCGGUCACGCGCUGACGCAGGAGGUCGCCGCAUGGCAGCGCCGCUCCGGUAAAGACUGCGCGGACCAGUCGUCAGUGGCGACACCGUCGCAGGAGGUUACUGCGGAUACGAUGCAUGCCGAUCUUAGCACCUCCAUACUUCGGCCUACCCGUGCCACUCAACUGCGCGAAGACUACGUUCUCCACUACAUCGAGGAGCGCGACGAGGCGGCGCAGAACAUCUUUUUUCGCCCGAAAGGGUGGCCUCUGUCAGGGGCCGCGCUGAACAGCCCGUAUAGACAGCACUGCACUUCUUCGGCUUCUCCGUUGCGCAACGGUUUCCUCACGCCAACGCGCCCGGAAAACAGCAGUGCGGCUUCUUUGCCAACGCCGCGAUUCACGAAAGCCGCGCAACUCCGGCAACAGUCCGCGGUUCAGCUAAUGGAGAAGCUGGAGAGGUGUGAAUUGGAGAAGGCAGCGGAGGAGGCCUUGGCGCAUGUAGUCGCCGAGUCAAGCUCCCGCCGGGCAUUGAUGCGACUGAGGACCGGCGCUCAUUCGAACUCAUCCUCCCGGUUCCUCGCCGUGCAGCGCAGCGGCGGUGCGCGCGGUGCGAGUACUGCGAUGCCUUUCAGCGGCACGCAGCCAUCGCAUCAUGUACCGCGCUGGCACCACACUUCCCGCACAGGAUCAUCUGGUGACACUAUCAACGGUGCGGGCCAUCGGAUAAGGGCGACGAGCAGUGCUUCCACGCAUUCUUCUCCAAGAGAGGAGUGGCUGUCUGCCGCCUCGACCUGCUUUGAUGACAGAGAGAAAACCCUGAACAAGCAGCAGCACGCCGCCGAAGCGACACACGCGCCAUCCAGAGGUCUGGUGCCGGAUGCCCCGGCGCCGCUGCCGAGCUCGAAGUACCGCUCUUGCAGAAUAAGCAAGGAGGCACUCAAGGCUCCCCGCGGAGAGCUGAGUUCUGCGAAGGCCACUGAGGCAAUGGCGGUGCUACCUAAGCCUGCCGCAUGUAACGGAGGCGAGCGCGUGCCGUCUCGCCACCAUCGUCGUCGCCGCUGCUCAUACGCGGCCCAGCGCGAUUCUGAAAGCCUUUCACCUGUGGCUAUCCGAGACGUGCGCGACACCGCCCACCCCUCUCCGUCGACAGCUGCGUUAGCUUCACCGCCAGCUGCUGUGCACCGGGAGCGUGAGCAGCGUGGCAUCCGUACCCCACCGGCGGUUCGGGACACAGAAACAAAGAUGACAUCACGUGGGGAUGCUCCACUGGCGCAGCGUGCGACCUCGUUAACGCCAUCGCAUUUGCGGGACGGUGACGACGCCUCGUCUUCCUCCGUGUCGUCCAUCAUGUUCACGGUGCUGUCUGCCCCUCAAGACGACACCGCAGGUGCACACCUGCCAGAGGCUCGGCACGACUGGCAGCAGGUCGCCACUCAGGGAAGUCGGAUGCGCGAAAGUGGUGACGCCGCAGAUGACAGCUCACUGGAAUUUCGAAGCACUGACCGAAGCGACUGCGAGCAUUCAGCGAGUCUCUUGGCAUGUUUGACACCUGUGGCUGCUGUGCCGCCCUCUGCCAUGCGAGGCGCGGAGUGCUCUUCUUUUACGUCGCCAGAUUUCUCCCGCGUGCCUUCGCCAACGCAGGCGAGCGCAUCCGUCACGAGUGACGAGGCGCGGGUGUCCGCUGCCACCGCCGUCGCGGCUCCUCAUGAACGAGAGACGAAGACUUCUUGUGCCGAGAGGGAGGUCGAGAGGACACCGCACGCUGUCGGAGCGAACGCGUCUCUAGCACCGCGACGACCUCUCGAGCAAGCGCUGCAGGGCACACGUGAAGAGCCCUCGGCACGCUCGAGUGCAAGAUGCCUUGGACGGCGUGGAGUUUGCCCGCCGCCAGUGGAUGCCUACCCGGCCCCGGCUCACACGCCUCACACACCUUCUACUGAACGUUCGGGUGACGUGAGUCGGAGAUCGCUUUCCCAGGACCCCUACCAUGCAGGUAGCUCUAUCUCUAGCAGGUCUGGCGAGUUUGAGGCGCAACCGCCGAGUCAGGGCGAGUCGACCGGCCGGAGUGCGCAGGUUGCUGCAACUACGCUUCCGCAGACCGUGCGGAGCGAGGUAGCAGAGGGCGAUUCGGAGAAGGAGCCGAGCGAUGCGGCAGAGGUGCGGCACGAGGGCUCCGCCUUGUCGACGCAAUCGUCGUUUGCGUCGAUUGCCUCCUACCACACGGAGGUGCACGUGCACAUUCCUGCGGUGGUGAGUGACGCCGCAGAUGAAUCUCUGGAAGCGGCCACAUCACAGACCGAGCUGCUAGCUUUCUACCGCAUCGCAAAGCCCUCGUCUGCAGCUGCCGAGUCGCGCCUUCACCGCCGCGCCGAGCAUGACUGGAGCCUCAAAUCGAACGUACGCGCAUCAUCUCAGGGGGACGAAGCCAGCAGAGCUGGCGAUGACAAGCAGGUGCUGCGUGGGCACGGCGGCGCCGUUCCCUCAUCGCCUUCGUGGCUGUUGAACGCUUCGGAGGGCAUCAGCUCUGCAUUGUGCGGGCUCGUCCCCUCUGCAGCAAGUGGCGAAAGCGAUGCCAGCCGGAGUGUGGCGACCGACGCAUACACGGUGGUCGCCGGUGGCGGCCGCCGCGUGCUUGCUGCGUGGAGUCUUCCAGUGCCGCCCACAAACUGCACACACAUGGUAGCCGCAAAGGAGGCGCGCCAGCGGGCAGCCGUCGAGGCUGGCCUCAGCAAGCUGUGUACCGCCUCGGAGCAGCCCAGUAGGCUUCUCUCCGGUCACAUCUCAGACAGCCGAAUAAGGCAACUCACAGCAGCUGGGGUGAACUCAGCGUCAUCGUAUCAGCCGCGAAGGGAGAGGCCAGUAGGGAAGGAGGCACUAGACUCGCCACGCAAGCCUAGCAUGCAGGAAAGCAGCCGCUGCACUUCUGCACCGCCGUCGGCAGCAGAGGCACCAAGCUCUCUAGUGGUAGCAUCUGCGGAGAACGGCACGAGAGACGAUGCCCGACCUGAGGUGGUGGCCGACAAGGCGGAGGCACUCGCCCAUGGAAAGACUACAGAUGAUGCGCCGAGUGCCGCUGUGUCUUUAGCCGACGUAGCCGUGCUCGGCACCGAUCGGAAAGGGGAUGUGGACGCUCCUUCUGUGCAGAGGGAGGGUGGGUAUCCGCGUGACGCCACUCAAUCGCUCGCGACGGUGACGGUGGCGGCUGCCAGUGAAAAAUCAUCGUUGUCUUUGGUGGGUGCGGAACAACCGGCAGCGAUAGAGAACGCGUUGGCGGAAUCUUUGCCGGUGAAAGACGCACCUGCCUCACGCGCCGUGCUCUCUCGUUCGAGCUGCGUCGCCAUCGGCAGAGAAAACAGGCCAACUGAGAAGGCGAUGGGAAGCCUGGCUUUGAGCGUGGACAGUGUGCCUCCUCAAAGCCACGCGGAAUCGAUCCGUUCGGUGCAGGAGACCGGUGUCUUCACCUCAGAUGGCACCGUAGGUUCACGAACUGCCGUUGUCGCCUCUCUGCCUCACCCACUUUCUGACACACAUGCAGGGGCGGCUGUGGCGAAGGCAGAGGGCCGACAGAAUGAUGUGGUGCCGUGCGACGGGGCGGAGGCUGCACCGGCGCCGUGCAUUGCUACGAUUCGAUCAGCCACAUCUUCCGUGCGGGAGAGUGCGCAGCCGAAGGAGGUGAGCGACAUCCCACUCAGCGUGGCGGCGGUACAGCCUGAAGACGCGACUUUGCAUCGAUCUCGCUCCUCCUCGGCAGAGGUCGGCGGUGCAAAUCGCGCCGAGCGCACGGCGGUCGUGGGCGUGAACACUCCUCCCUCGUUAUCGACAUGGCCGCGCACAGUUGAGCUCGCCUUUGCCACGGCCUCCUUUCUGACCACCGAGCACGGCUCCUUUUCUCUGCACUUCACAGAGGCGGAGCAGUCGCCCCGGGAACGAUCGGUGUAUGCGCGGCAAGCCGCAUCGCUCAGCAACGGUGGAGGCGAAGAGCUGGGAGAGGGUGUGCCGCACAGCCACGCGCCAACGCCGCUGCACUGUCGCCUCCCGCCGCAGAGGAGGCAGGCGACAUCGCCGUACGAAGGAGUGCAGCUGCCAGAUGCCUCCGCGGCCGAGGAGCGCAAGCGCGACGCGCCGCUUGCUCAGGCGUUUUCCCGGUCCGACACCUCGACGCGGUGUCUGUGUGCUGCCUCGGCCGAGUUCCAAGCGGACGUGCACGUACGGGCGCACACGAACGAGAGAGCGGAAGGGACUCCCGCGGUACCUUUCGGAGCCUCCGUUAACGGCGUCUCUUCGAUGAGGGAACAGAGCAGGCGGGCGGCCGCGCAGGACAGCGUCGCUCUCGACAGAUCCGCCCCACCCAGUGCAGACGCAACUUUGGAGCUGGCAGCAGUGUGUGCUCCGUUUUCUCACGACUCCCCUGCGCGCCCGCUUUCUUCGUCGACAUCGAGCAGCACCCACUUUCUGGCUCGCAGCCCCUCUUGUUCUUCACAGUCCAGCAGCUCCCCCACGACCCCGACGGCGACGGGUCGCUUUAUGCCCAGCUCGCUGGGGCGGCUCGAUACACCGAAUCAGGGUGAUGGCGGGAAGGUGGAUUUCGAGCUGAGGGCCGACGAUGACUGCAAUGGGUUAUUGACAGGCAACGCAGCUGACGCUAACCGAAGCACUUUCUCGCGCAGCACGUCAUGCGAUUUACUGGAGCAUGCUGCACUGGUGCAGCUCACCGAGCCGACCUCUACCGACGCCGCGGUGAUCACGACGCCGUUUCGGCCAAGCUCUCCUGUUCCCGGCAGUGAAUUCAGCACGACUUGCUCGCAGAUAUCCGAGCGCAUCACGUGGAGCGCCGGCACAUGGGUCGAUCGGGAGCGCGCUAGCGCUUCACCAGACCAUGCGGAGGCGGGAGUGGCCGAGAGCGACUUGGGGGUGCUCCGCAAGGGGACGCGGUCUGCCCCGUCAGUGCCCCUUACGCGAGUGAGGUACUUGAACCAAGAUAUGUGAAUCACCUGCCCGGCAGCGGCGCGCUAACCUCUGCAUCGGUGUGCGUGUGAGUAUCAAGAUGACGGCGUACACUCCCUUGUUGUUCUCUCUCGCUGCGGCUCACUGCCCUCGAAUAUUGUG
rnacentral:misc_RNA from 1 species